rnacentral:rRNA from 1 species
UACGUAGGGGGCUAGCGUUGUCCGGAUUUAUUGGGCGUAAAGAGCGUGUAGGCGGCCAGGUAGGUCUGGUGUGAAAACUCGAGGCUUAACCUCGAGAUGUCAUCGGAAACCAUUUGGCUAGAGUCCGGAAGAGGAGAGUGGAAUUCCGGGUGUAGCGGUGGAAUGCGUAGAGAUCCGGAAGAACACCGGUGGCGAAGGCGGUCUGCUGGGCAGUUGCUGACACUGAUGCGCGAAAGCGUGGGGGAGCAAACAGG